UGUGUUCAUAUGUUCACAUUUACCCACACACCUUGAUUUGUCCCCUGCCCCAGUCCCGCUGCAUUCCUACCUCUCCACUCUACCCCGCAGCUCCCACUAGGUGUGUUCUAGAACAGAUACAGGUUGCUAGCACCGUCCACUAGCUGUUCCCAACAUCGGUUACAAAUCUCCGCGAGGGACAAAAACAUCUGUUCAGUCAGAGACUGGGGAAGUCAAGACUGCGGGUGCCGCACUGCGGGGAUGCACAAAUCCGGAGCUGAGUCAGAGAGAGCCCCUUGCCCCCUCCCGCUGCGGUCGGCGGUGGCAAAAGAUUUUCGAGAUAGCAGUAGUACAUGCACAUGGAGAAAAGAAAUUCAAGCAGGACAAGAGUGCACAAGCAAGAAGGUAUUUAAAUAUAUCCUCUUGGGUGCUUAAUUCAUCUAAGUAGCGUGUGAGCUCUUGGAUUUCUGUGUGCAGAGAGGUUCUUAUAGAUCUUCAUACUCCCAGACCCAGACAGAGAAGUUUCCCGAGUCAUCCACAUCGCUGACGAUUUCUGACUUGGUGGUUUCUCAUCGCACCUCCUCAGCACUUCGCCCGGCGGUUUCCGGGGAGAACGGCGGCCUUCCCUGCCGGGUUCUAGGCGAGCGUAACCAGCUCUUUGUGACUUCCGAAGUGAGGCUUCCUGGUAUCAAACACUCAUUAUUGACUACCUUGAGAUCUAAUAUGGUUGGAGGUAUAUGGAGGGGGGCUCAUUUUUCUUUUCAUUUCCCGAUUCCAUUCACAGUUAACGUUACCGACGGUUAAUAAAAUGUAGCUUGUGACUGUAAUAUGGGGACGGAGAGGUCCCAAUAAAUGUCAAAAGAUAUAAGACAAAAAAGUAUCUUGCGACUGUACGCGGGACUGCAUUGCUCCCAGUUUUGGCUAUAGAUGCACUAAAAGAACCUGUUAACACACACCAAAGUGCAUCCUUAUAAUAACCUCCUCAAUCAUUUAUUAAAAGUCGUGUCAAGCAGGCCCGUAUAAUUCAUCUCUAUGCAAAUACAUCAAUGUCAGGCCAUUAGUGUAUUGCUCAGGUUUUUAUUAAAGUGCAUUCUUUUUAAUUCAGCCCCGUAAAAUACGAGCCCCAUUGCUCAAGAAUUAUAGCAACUAUUAGAGUAACAUAUGGGCAACAUGCACUCAGAAAAUAAAAACCAACAGAUAAAGUGGCAGGGUCACAUCGCAGGAGCAAACACUUAACAAAAUGGCAGUGGGGUAAUAGAUUUUUCUCCCAAGGCCUUUGGCGAAAGGGUGUCAUGGGCAUUAACACCUAAGGAAAGGCAGAGCCUGGAAGUUACUCUGCAAGGAAAGGUAGAGCCUCGAAGUUACUCUGUGCUGUCUCAAACUCAGAACCAGCCAGGACUGGCAUCUCUGGAGUUAGGAGAGGGGAGGCUUCCUGAGCUCCUCUACAUUCGGCUACCAUCUUUCUAUAAAAGGAUUUCAACAUACCCCAGAGAAGGGUGUUCUGCUUUUUCUUAAAGCAAGAAUCCCUUAAGAGAUUUCGAUGUAGGGUUUAUGGCCCAACGCUCCUCCCUCUCUCCUCUCCACUCCCCCACCUCCUUCCUCAUCUUGGCUAUCUCUCAUCCCACACUUGCCUCACUGGAAGCCCCACCCACCUCUAGUACUUUCUGGGAUCACCCUUCCCUCCCUGCCUCUGCAGGAAGGUUGAGAAGGCCCGUGGAUGUGUAGGCAAAUUUCCCUCUCAUAUGUGGAAGCCUGUGUAAAAACUUCCCAUUGAAAUCAAUCCAUAGCUAAAAAUAAAACAUAUUUUAGCUCCCAACUCAGAAGAAACUUAAAUGCCCUCUGCCUGCACCCCUCACCUGGCACUGGCACUCGGGGACGCCCAAGUUUCCCAGGUUAGAAUGCAUUGCUGCAAAUUUUGUCAAACCGGGGAAAACUCUAGCCUGAUCUGAGAGGGAUUUUGCUAUUUUAGUUACUGAGGACAGAGUGGUGGCCAGUGGGUGGUGCCCUGCAGCCCUUCAGCAGACGCCUAGGCUUGAGAUGGAAUGGGGAAGAGAGAGAGAGAGAGAGAAUGAGAGAGAGAGAGAGAGAGAAGAGAGCACGCACGAGCAAACUGGUUUGCAACAGCCCCUGACAAAUCCACUGGAGAAGUCAGCAGCAUCAAAUUCAGUUUUUUAUUUUUGAUUGCCAUUAGAACAAUCAAUUUUCAGAGGCUGGAAAAUAAACCUCAAAUCCAAAACACAACACAGCCUAGACAGAAAAAUAGAGAGAAAAGUGGAAAAAACUCCUAAGAACAAUCUCCCAGAUUUAAUGAGAGAGUU
rnacentral:lncRNA from 10 species